rnacentral:rRNA from 1 species
GUGAACGCUGGCGGUAGGCCUAACCCCUGCCAGUCGAACGGCAGCACCGUAAGAGCUUGCUCUUACGGGUGGCGAGUGGCGGACGGGUGAGGAAUACAUCGGAAUCUACUUUUUCGUGGGGGAUAACGUAGGGAAACUUACGCUAAUACCGCAUACGACCUACGGGUGAAAGCAGGGGAUCUUCGGACCUUGCGCGAUUGAAUGAGCCGAUGUCGGAUUAGCUAGUUGGCGGGGUAAAGGCCCACCAAGGCGACGAUCCGUAGCUGGUCUGAGAGGAUGAUCAGCCACACUGGAACUGAGACACGGUCCAGACUCCUACGGGAGGCAGCAGUGGGGAAUAUUGGACAAUGGGCGCAAGCCUGAUCCAGCCAUACCGCGUGGGUGAAGAAGGCCUUCGGGUUGUAAAGCCCUUUUGUUGGGAAAGAAAAGCAGCAGGUUAAUACCCCGCUGUUCUGACGGUACCCAAAGAAUAAGCACCGGCUAACUUCGCG